AUGGCAUUUCAUUUUUCAAUUUGGGAAAACAUUAUUACUGUUUUGGAAACACUUAAAGAUAAUUUUUUCUUAAACUGCAGUGCACCAAAGAACUACCAUCUUGCAAUGCACACUGUUGGAGUCUUCACUACUGCAACUUCCUUAAAAGACCUCUCUGACAUGGUUCAAAGUGCUGCAGUUGUUUUUGGGAGUCCUUGUAGUGGUGAGAAUGUAGAAAAACAUUUUCACAACCUGCAGUUAUGGAUGCAGAAAGCCAAUGUUGAUGUUGAUGGCAAUGCCAGAAACUCAAAAGCUGAUGAGGACCUGAAGGGAGUCAAGGGAAACAACCUCUUUGGGAGACAUUUUAAGGAGCUCAUUUCCAACACAUCAUUGGAGAUGGAUGGUGAGGCAAACCCUUACUACAGCAAAGGGCUCAUGGAGCACAUCAGCAAAUAUCUUCUUCCUUUUUCUGGAUUAUGGUCUGCAAUAAUGUUAGGUGACCUUGGAAGACAUGGCACUGGGAAAAUGUAUGAGCAGUACCACAACAAAUACAAUGCCUUAAGAAAGAUCAAGAGACAAAAUAUUACUGAGAAUAAUAAAAUGCAGGGGAUAAUGGAGAAGAGCCAGUGGGAUCUGAAACAUAUCCGUCUACGUUCGGGAAGGCUCACCAGGCUGGAUGACUUUGUUGUCCAGUAUCAAAUCAGUCACACAGCGCUGCUGAAGGAGUACGAAGUCUCAAAAAGAAUGCUUCAAAGAAAGGUUUGCAAAAUGACUGGCUGA
rnacentral:lncRNA from 1 species